GAUGAACGCUGGCGGCGUGCCUAAUACAUGCAAGUCGAGCGAACAGACGAGGAGCUUGCUCCUCUAACGUUAGCGGCGGACGGGUGAGUAACACGUGGAUAACCUACCUAUAAGACUGGGAUAACUUCGGGAAACCGGAGCUAAUACCGGAUAAUAUAUUGAACCGCAUGGUUCAAUAGUGAAAGACGGUUUUGCUGUCACUUAUAGAUGGAUCCGCGCCGCAUUAGCUAGUUGGUAAGGUAACAGCUUACCAAGGCAACGAUGCGUAGCCGACCUGAGAGGGUGAUCGGCCACACUGGAACUGAGACACGGUCCAGACUCCUACGGGAGGCAGCAGUAGGGAAUCUUCCGCAAUGGGCGAAAGCCUGACGGAGCAACGCCGCGUGAGUGAUGAAGGUCUUCGGAUCGUAAAACUCUGUUAUUAGGGAAGAACAAAUGUGUAAGUAACUAUGCACGUCUUGACGGUACCUAAGCAGAAAACCACGGCUAACUACGU
rnacentral:rRNA from 1 species